GUGCCAGCCGCCGCGGUAAUACGUAGGGCGCAAGCGUUGUCCGGAUUUAUUGGGCGUAAAGAGCUCGUAGGCGGUUUGUCGCGUCUUCCGUGAAAACUGGGGGCUUAACUUCCAGCUUGCGGUGGAUACGGGCUGACUGGAGUGCGGCAGGGGAGACUGGAAUUCCUGGUGUAGCGGUGAAAUGCGCAGAUAUCAGGAGGAACACCGGUGGCGAAGGCGGGUCUCUGGGCCGUUACUGACGCUGAGGAGCGAAAGCGUGGGGAGCGAACAGGAUUAGAAACCCGAGUAGUCC
rnacentral:rRNA from 1 species